rnacentral:misc_RNA from 1 species
ACACCUCAACUCUCAUGGUUUGCCAUGAUGAGCUUGGAUUUUGGGGGUUUUGCUGGCCUGUGGUCAGCUCCUCUCAAAUGGAUCAGCUUACCAGUAUUUGGUGGCGUCACAGGUGUGAUAACUAUCUACGCUUGUGGUUGUCUGCUGAGUAACCUUUGGUGACAGAGGUUUGCUGGAGCUUAUAAAUGUCUUUCCUCAGUGAAGACAGCUUUUUGACC